AUGGGGGUGGCAAGGAAAUUGCUUGCCGGCAGCCGAGUCAUUAUCCCUAUUUAUCACUUGGCAACUUGGGCUCCUUCCUCCGGCCCCAGUCCAGUACUGUGCGGAAGCGCAUCUCUCCUCCUUUUUCUCCCCCCGCUGAGCCGGAAAAAGGCUUUCUUUGCUUCACGCGGGGCUUCGGAUAUUCCUUGUCCUCGCGGCUCAGCCACCGCGGAAUCCAUCCAGCGCAGCUCAGGGGGGCAGGAGGAGAGGCGGCCGAAGCUGGAGGUGGAAGACGGGCUCGCCAUGGGCUCCGAGGGAUCCGCGCCGGUCGUCGUUCCCAGAAACUUUAGACUUUUGGAAGAACUUGAGAGAGGUGAGAAGGGCAUUGGUGAUGGAACUGUGAGCUAUGGGAUGGAUGAUGCUGAUGACAUAUAUAUGCGCUCCUGGACAGGAACUAUUAUUGGUCCACCCAAUACUGUUCACGAGGGACGAAUCUAUCAAUUGAAGUUGUUCUGUGAUACAGAUUAUCCAGACAAACCACCGACUGUCCGGUUCCAGGCUAGGGUCAAUAUGACAUGUGUGAAUCAAGAAACUGGAAUGGUUGAUCCAAGACGAUUUCCUAUGCUUGGAAACUGGAAAAGGGAACAUACAAUGGAGGACAUCCUCAUCAGCCUUAAAAAGGAGAUGUCAACCCCUCAGAACCGCAGGCUCCACCAGCCUCAUGAAGGCACCGAUGAUCAGAGAGUGGAGCAGAAAGGGCUAGCAGCUAGAUGUGUCGUUAUGUAA
rnacentral:rRNA from 1 species